GGACAACAUUUGGAAACGAAUGCUAAUACCGCAUAACAACUUUAAACACAAGUUUUAAGUUUGAAAGAUGCAAUUGCAUCACUCAAAGAUGAUCCCGCGUUGUAUUAGCUAGUUGGUGAGGUAAAGGCUCACCAAGGCGAUGAUACAUAGCCGACCUGAGAGGGUGAUCGGCCACAUUGGGACUGAGACACGGCCCAAACUCCUACGGGAGGCAGCAGUAGGGAAUCUUCGGCAAUGGACGAAAGUCUGACCGAGCAACGCCGCGUGAGUGAAGAAGGUUUUCGGAUCGUAAAACUCUGCUGGUAGAGAAGAACGUUGGUGAGAGUGGAAAGCUCAUCAAGUGACGGUAACUACCCAGAAAGGGACGGCUAACUACGUGCCAGCAGCCGCGGUAAUACGUAGGUCCCGAGCGUUGUCCGGAUUUAUUGGGCGUAAAGCGAGCGCAGGUGGUUUAUUAAGUCUGGUGUAAAAGGCAGUGGCUCAACCAUUGUAUGCAUUGGAAACUGGUAGACUUGAGUGCAGGAGAGGAGAGUGGAAUUCCAUGUGUAGCGGCGAAAAUGCGUAGAUAUAUGGAGGAACACCGGUGGCGAAAGCGGCUCUCUGGCCUGUAACUGACACUGAGGCUCGAAAGCGUGGGGAGCAAACAGGAUUAGAUACCCUGGUAGUCCACGCCGUAAACGAUGAGUGCUAGAUGUAGGGAGCUAUAAGUUCUCUGUAUCGCAGCUAACGCAAU
rnacentral:rRNA from 1 species